GACGAACGCUGGCGGCGUGCUUAACACAUGCAAGUCGAACGGAAAGGCCCUGCUUUUGUGGGGUGCUCGAGUGGCGAACGGGUGAGUAACAAGUGAGUAACCUGCCCUUGACUUUGGGAUAACUUCAGGAAACUGGGGCUACUACCGGAUAGUAGCUCCUGCUGCAUGGUGGGGGUUGGAAAGUUUCGGCGGUUGGGGAUGGACUCGCGGCUUAUCAGCUUGUUGGUGGGGUAGUGGCUUACCCAGGCUUUGACGGGUCGCCGGCCUGAGAGGGGGACCGGCCACAUUGGGACUGAGAUACGGCCCAGAGUCCUACGGGAGGCAGCAGUGGGGAAUAUUGCACAAUGGGCGGAAGCCUGAUGCAGCAACGCCGCGUGCGGGAUGACGGCCUUCGGGGUGUAAACCGCUUUCGCCUGUGACGAAGCGUGAGUGACGGUAAUGGGUAAAGAAGCACCGGCUAACUACGUG
rnacentral:rRNA from 1 species